rnacentral:rRNA from 1 species
UACAGAGGGGGCAAGCGUUGUUCGGAAUUACUGGGCGUAAAGGGCGCGUAGGCGGCCUGUUAAGUCGAACGUGAAAUCCCCGGGCUCAACCCGGGAACUGCGUCCGAUACUGGUUGGCUUGAAUCCGGGAGAGGGAUGUGGAAUUCCAGGUGUAGCGGUGAAAUGCGUAGAUAUCUGGAGGAACACCGGUGGCGAAGGCGACAUCCUGGACCGGUAUCGACGCUGAGGCGCGAAAGCCAGGGGAGCAAACGGG